CACUAUGUUGUGCCCGUCGGUGCCGAUCGCGAGAUUGGCUCAAUAGGGAAGCCGGUAAGGACGCAGCCAGCGCGACGUCCAAAGCCGGCGCUGCCCCGCAGCGGUAUGGGAAACGAACGCUACCAAGCACUGGACGCGCCUCGCGUCUGGGAAGCGGUAGCCAGUAGGAGACGCGAGUCGUCGUGUCCCGAGCCCGAAGACCUGCCGACAGCCGCGCGUUGCA
rnacentral:ncRNA from 1 species